rnacentral:rRNA from 1 species
UACGGGAGGCAGCGGUGGGGAAUAUUGCACAAUGGGCGCAAGCCUGAUGCAGCCAUGCCGCGUGUAUGAAGAAGGCCUUCGGGUUGUAAAGUACUUUCAGUCGUGAGGAAGGUGUUAAGGUUAAUAACCUUAGCAAUUGACGUUAGCGACAGAAGAAGCACCGGCUAACUCCGUGCCAGCAGCCGCGGUAAUACGGAGGGUGCGAGCGUUAAUCGGAAUUACUGGGCGUAAAGGGCACGCAGGCGGUUAAUUAAGUUGGAUGUGAAAUCCCCGGGCUUAACCUGGGAAUGGCAUUCAAGACUGGUUAGCUAGAGUCUUGUAGAGGGGGUAGAAUUCCAUGUGUAGCGGUGAAAUGCGUAGAGAUGUGGAGGAAUACCGGUGGCGAAGGCGGCCCCUGGACAAAGACUGACGCUCAUGUGCGAAAGCGUGGGGAGCAAACAGGGAUAGAUACC